rnacentral:rRNA from 1 species
UACGGAGGAUCCGAGCGUUAUCCGGAAUUAUUGGGUUUAAAGGGUGCGUAGGCGGCCAUUUAAGUCAGCGGUGAAAUUUUGCAGCUCAACUGUAAAAGUGCCAUUGAUACUGGUUUUCUUGAGUGUGGAUGAAGUAGGCGGAAUUUGUGGUGUAGCGGUGAAAUGCUUAGAUAUCACGAGGAACUCCGAUUGCGCAGGCAGCUUACUAAACCACUACUGACGCUCAGGCACGAAGGCGUGGGGAUCAAACAGGAUUAGAUACCCG